ensembl:lncRNA
AAAGGAAACAGUGAAAGUUAUAGAAGGUCUGGCGAGUCACAGCUGACAUCUCCUUUGUCAAUGAUGACUCCCGAUAAUGAAGGAUCAAGUCAUACUCAUUGGAUUCUUUUCAAGGAAGGAAGACUGUGGUAGGAUUUGGAAAUGUGUAUUGGAAAGCAAAUCAUGCCAGCAAAGCAGCCAUUGGAAUUGGUGGAGAAACAUGGGUUUGAAUCCCAGCUGUGCCACUUCCUAGAUGAGUUACUCCAAACCCUAACCCUGGGUUCCUUCACACUGAAGCUAGGAUAGCAUUACUAAGAGGCUAUUGGUGUGUGUGUGCCUUCUUUCUCCAAUGAAGAUUCUAGAGCAUUUUGAAAACUUUUAACUUGAUUCAAGAGACGUUCUAAAACCUGGUGUUCUAUCACUAUCAACACAUUUUAUUUCCAUUUUUGUUGAUGCAAGUUUUUUAACUAAUUGAGGACGCCUACUCCUUGAAGAAUCUACAGAAACGUCCUUAUAUUUUGUAGUAACUGUUUUAUCUUAUCUGAGAGUGGGAAGUACCAGUUGGCUGACCAAAAGAUAUAAGGCAUUGGUUCUGCAGGAGAGCAAUCUACAAAUAGAUUCUUAUUGAUAAAACCUGUCAUGCAGGGUGAUGGUGGCACACGCCUUUAGUCACAGCAUUUGGGAGGCAAAGGCAGGCAGAUUUCUGAGUCUGAGGCCAACCUGUUCUACAGAAUGAGUUUCAGGACAGCCAGAAGCCCUGUCUCGAAAAACAAAAAAACAAAAAGCAAAAAAACAAAAAAACAAAAACCUGUCUGAUUUUUCUUUUAAUUCAUAUACCCUCAGCCUUGGCCAAUUGAUAUAAUUGUUUUCUCACAGCUCUAGCACAUUAAUUGACUUUAUUUUGUUUUUGCAUAAAUUAUAUCAAAUACCUCUCUCUGAAAUCAGUUUUAAGAGUAUCUUCAUGAUAUUUUUAAAGAGAGCAUGGGGGCAAACUAUCUACCUAAAAGCCCUCCAAAUGUGAUUUUGUUCAUAUAUUUCAAUUUACAUCACUGCUAAACCAUUUCAAGAUUUCUGUCCAAAGAAGGGAAGCAAAUGUUACUCUUUCCACAUCAGUAUUUCUUCUCUAAGACAGAUUGCCUCUUCCCAUACCAUGGCAUAAAAAUCGACCUCAUGGUUUGCACUCACCUGGUGAACAUGAGCAGAAAGUGACAUGUGCUCCUUUCCAGCAGACACUUCUAGAAACAUCACCGGAU